GAUGAACGCUGGCGGCGUGCCUAAUACAUGCAAGUCGAGCGAACAGACGAGGAGCUUGCUCCUCUGACGUUAGAGGCGGACGGGUGAGUAACACGUGGAUAACCUACCUAUAAGACUGGGAUAACUUCGGGAAACCGGAGCUAAUACCGGAUAAUAUAUUGAACCGCAUGGUUCAAUAGUGAAAGACGGUUUUGCUGUCACUUAUAGAUGGAUCAGCGCCGCAUUAGCUAGUUGGUAAGGUAACGGCUUACCAAGGCAACGAUGCGUAGCCGACCUGAGAGGAUGACCGGCCACACUGGAACUGAGACACGGUCCAGACUCCUACGGGAGGCAGCAGUAGGGAAUCUUCCGCAAUGGGCGAAAGCCUGACGGAGCAACGCCGCGUGAGUGAUGAAGGUCUUCGGAUCGUAAACCUCUGUUAUUAGGGAAGAACAAAUGUGUAAGUAACUAUGCACGUCUUGACGGUACCUAAUCAGAAAGCCACGGCUAACUACGUG
rnacentral:rRNA from 1 species